UGCAAGUCGAACGGCAGCACGGACUUCGGUCUGGUGGCGAGUGGCGAACGGGUGAGUAACAUAUCGGAACGUAUCCAAUAAUGGGGGAUAACUAAUCGAAAGGUUGGCUAAUACCGCAUACGCCCUACGGGGGAAAGCAGGGGAUCUUCGGACCUUGCGUUAAUGGAGCGGCCGAUAUCUGAUUAGCUAGUUGGUGAGGUAAAAGCCCACCAAGGCUACGACGGGUAGCUGGUCUUAGAGGACGACCAGCCACACUGGAACUGAGACACGGUCCAGACACCUACGGGUGGCAGCAGUCGAGAAUCUUUCACAAUGGGGGCAACCCUGAUGGAGCGACGCCGCGUGGAGGAUAAGGUCUUCGGAUUGUAAACUCCUGUCAUGCGCGAACAAGGUUGCAGGGAUAAUACCUUUGCAAAUUGAUGGUACCGCAAGAGGAAGAGACGGCUAACUCUGUGCCAGCAGCCGCGGUAAUACGUAGGGUGCGAGCGUUAAUCGGAAUUACUGGGCGUAAAGCGUGCGCAGGCGGCUUUAAAAGUCAGAUGUGAAAUCCCCGAGCUCAACUUGGGAACUGCGUUUGAAACUCUAAAGCUAGAAUAUGUCAGAGGGGGGUAGAAUUCCACGUGUAGCAGUGAAAUGCGUAGAGAUGUGGAGGAAUACCAAUGGCGAAGGCAGCCCCCUGGGAUAAUAUUGACGCUCAUGCACGAAAGCGUGGGGAGCAAACAGGAUUAGAUACCCUGGUAGUCCACGCCCUAAACGAUGUCUACUAGUUGUUGGUGGAGUAAAAUCCAUGAGUAACGCAGCUAACGCGUGAAGUAGACCGCCUGGGGAGUACGGUCGCAAGAUUAAAACUCAAAUGAAUUGACGGGGGCCCGCACAAGCGGUGGAUUAUGUGGAUUAAUUCGAUGCAACGCGAAAAACCUUACCUGGGCCUUGACAUGUAACGAACUUUCCAGAGAUGGAUUGGUGCUCGAAAGAGAACGUUUAACAC
rnacentral:rRNA from 1 species